rnacentral:rRNA from 1 species
CCUACGGGUGGCAGCAGUGGGGAAUAUUGGACAAUGGGGGGAACCCUGAUCCAGCCAUGCCGCGUGUGUGAAGAAGGCCCUCGGGUUGUAAAGCACUUUCAGUGAGGAAGAACGCCUGGUGGUUAAUACCCAUCAGGAAAGACAUCACUCACAGAAGAAGCACCGGCUAACUCCGUGCCAGCAGCCGCGGUAAUACGGAGGGUGCGAGCGUUAAUCGGAAUUACUGGGCGUAAAGCGCGCGUAGGUGGCUUGAUAAGCCGGUUGUGAAAGCCCCGGGCUCAACCUGGGAACGGCAUCCGGAACUGUCAAGCUAGAGUGCAGGAGAGGAAGGUAGAAUUCCCGGUGUAGCGGUGAAAUGCGUAGAGAUCGGGAGGAAUACCAGUGGCGAAGGCGGCCUUCUGGACUGACACUGACACUGAGGUGCGAAAUCGUGGGUAGCAAACAGGAUUAGAUACCCUAGUAGUC